GACUGCGUAGCUCAGUUGGCAGAGCAUUGGGCUAGUAUCCCAAAGGUCGUAGAAUCGAUUCCCACCGUGGCCA